UGGGGAAUAUUGCACAAUGGGCGCAAGCCUGAUGCAGCCAUGUCGCGUGUAUGAAGAAGGCCUUCGGGUUGUAAAGUACUUUCAGCGGGGAGGAAGGGAGUAAAGUUAAUACCUUUGCUCAUUGACGUUACCCGCAGAAGAAGCACCGGCUAACUCCGUGCCAGCAGCCGCGGUAAUACGGAGGGUGCAAGCGUUAAUCGGAAUUACUGGGCGUAAAGCGCACGCAGGCGGUUUGUUAAGUCAGAUGUGAAAUCCCCGGGCUCAACCUGGGAACUGCAUCUGA
rnacentral:rRNA from 1 species